rnacentral:rRNA from 1 species
AAUCAGAAAGCCACGGCUAACUACGUGCCAGCAGCCGCGGUAAUACGUAGGUGGCAAGCGUUAUCCGGAAUUAUUGGGCGUAAAGCGCGCGUAGGCGGUUUUUUAAGUCUGAUGUGAAAGCCCACGGCUCAACCGUGGAGGGUCAUUGGAAACUGGAAAACUUGAGUGCAGAAGAGGAAAGUGGAAUUCCAUGUGUAGCGGUGAAAUGCGCAGAGAUAUGGAGGAACACCAGUGGCGAAGGCGACUUUCUGGUCUGUAACUGACGCUGAUGUGCGAAAGCGUGGGGAUCAAACAGGAUUAGAUACCCUGGUAGUCCACGCCGUAA